UACGAAGGGUGCAAGCGUUGUUCGGAAUUACUGGGCGUAAAGGGUUCGUAGGCGGGAAGAUAAGUUAUGUGUGAAAUCCCUGGGCUUAACCUAGGACGUGCACAUAAAACUGUUUUUCUUGAGUAUCGGAGGGGAUAGUGGAAUUGCUGGUGUAGGAGUGAAAUCCGUAGAUAUCAGCAGGAACACCAGAGGCGAAGGCGACUGUCUGGCCGAAUACUGACGCUGAGGAACGAAAGCGUGGGGAGCAAAC
rnacentral:rRNA from 1 species